AGUGAACGCUGGCGGUAGGCCUAACACAUGCAAGUCGAACGGCAGCACAGUAAGAGCUUGCUCUUACGGGUGGCGAGUGGCGGACGGGUGAGGAAUACAUCGGAAUCUACUUUUUCGUGGGGGAUAACGUAGGGAAACUUACGCUAAUACCGCAUACGACCUACGGGUGAAAGCAGGGGAUCUUCGGACCUUGCGCGAUUGAAUGCGCCGAUGUCGGAUUAGUUAGUUGGCGGGGUAAAGGCCCACCAAGGGGACGAUCCGUAGCUGGUCUGAGAGGAUGAUCAGCCACACUGGAACUGAGACACGGUCCAGACUCCUACGGGAGGCAGCAGUGGGGAAUAUUGGACAAUGGGCGCAAGCCUGAUCCAGCCAUACCGCGUGGGUGAAGAAGGCCUUCGGGGUGGAAAGCCCUUUUGUUGGGAAAGAAAAGCAGCAGGUUAAUACCCCGCUGUUCUGACGGUACCCAAAGAAUAAGCACCGGCUAUCUUCGUG
rnacentral:rRNA from 1 species